GUUAGGGUUAGGGUUAAAGGUUAGGUUAGGGUUAGGAAAGGGUUGGGGUUAGUGUUAGGGUUAGGGUUAGGGUUAGGCAUAGGGUAAGUUUAAGGUAAAGGUAGGGCAAGGGAUAGGGUUAAGCUUAGGGUUAGGGUUAGGGAUAAAUCUAGGGCUUGGUUAAGGUUAGGGUUAAGGUUAGGGUUAGGGUUAUUAAAAGGGUUAGGGUUAGGUUUAGGGUUAGUGUUAGGGUUAGGGUUAGGGUUAGGGUUAGGGUAAGUUUAAGGUAAAGGUAGGGCAAGGGAUAGGGUUAAGGUUAGGGUUUAGGGUUAGGGAUAUGUCUUGGGCUAGGUUUAGGGUUCGGGUUAGGAUCAGGGUUAGGGUAGGGUAAGAUUAGGUUUUAGGUUAGGGUUAGGGUUAGGGUUGGGGUUAGGGUUAGGGUUAGGGUUAAGGUUGUGGUUAGUGUUAUGUUUAGCUUUAGGGUCAGAGUUAGGUUUGUGUUAGGAUUAGGUUUAGCGUUAGGCUUAGGGUAAGAUUGGGGUAUGGGUUACGGUUAGUGAUAGGGUUAGGGUUAUUGUUAGGAUUUGGGUUAUGUUUGGGGUUAGUGUUAUGGUUAGGACUAUGGUUAUUGCAAGGGUUAAGAUAGGGUUUGUAUUAAGGUUUUUUUUUCGGUUAUUGUUGAGUUAUGCUUAGGGUUAGGGUUAGUGUUAUGUUAGGGUUAGGGUUAUAGGCCUAUUUUGGGUUAUGUAGAACAGAAUAAAAUUGAUCUAGCAGGUCUAGUCCAACUAGAUUAUAGAAAAUGGGGAAAUUGUAGAGUGUGAACUGGAGCCUGCAGUUACAGCGAGG
ensembl:lncRNA